AUGUAGUUCAGGAGGGGAAGGAGGAGAAGCCUCUUCACGUCCUCCCUCCCCACUGUUCGCUGCUCUGCGCAUGCUCAGACUGCGCUCCCGUCUUAUUAAUUUUUAAUGGAAAAUGGCUGCGUUUCUCAUCCAAACCGCUGGAGCUGGGAUAUGAAAAAAAAAACUGCCUGUGUGAACCAUUUCACAUCUCGUCCAUAAACAAUCCGACGUGCUGAUUAAAGUCCAUCCGGCCGACUGUCCUGCGGCGCGACAACAAUCGUGGGGGAGGAAAAAAAAUGGAUCGACUCUCGCUUUGAGGGAUGAAAGAUCAUUUUUCUCCUUAACCCUUUCUGCUCCGAGAUCUGCGAACAAUCGAGAAGAUGAUGCGUCAGGUAACCAGCAGUGAUUUCUGCAUGAAUAGCAGGCCGUCAUGCCUGGCAGAGGACGGACACCACCCCGCCUCCCACUUUGAACUGUGCACCUCCCAGUCCAACAAGUUCUACCCUCCUCCCCCGUCCCUCCAGAUGACGCUGGGUCCCAUGGCUUUGCCCACCCAGAGCCACAAGCCCAUGGUGUGCCAGAGACAGGAGGUGCUCGGGGGUGACCCCCGCUCGCCUGGAAAAAUACCCGGCGUUAAAAGCACUGAUCAAGCAGCGGAUGACGGCAAGAAGAAGAACAAGGCUGUGGGGAAGACAGGUAGACGCGGUAGGCCUUUGGGAACCACCAAGCUAGCCGGAUACAGAACCAGCACAGGUCGACCCCUCGGCACCACCAGAGCUGCUGGAUUCAAGACGAGCCCGGGAAGGCCGCUGGGUACAACCAGAGCGGCGGGAUACAAGGUCAGUCCUGGUCGGCCUCCCGGCAGCAUCAAAGGCGUCUCACGCCUCAACAAACUGGCUUAUGGCAGCACAUGCAGCGGCGCGGCUUUCCCCUAUCCUCUACCACACAAGGAAAUCCUCUGUGAACCUUCCUGCAAAGAGAAGACAGCUAAUGAGUAAAAUCUCUGUCUGUUUCUACUCACCCUCCAUCAGCUGAAGAAAGAGACACAUGAGCGCAGGAUUCCUGCCAGAUACUGGUGGUGAUUGUAAUCUGUACCAGUCUGCUGUGAGGCUGCAAGGAGGAGAUUUUCUAUUAUUCGUGUUGGUGUCAUCCGUGUGCCUGCCACCUGAUAUAAUACUGUUAGUUUUUCGGUGCAACUGCUGGAGAACUAUGGUGUGUGGAAGCUUUCACUACACGCUGCUGUGUCUGGUUUCUUAGCGGGAAAAAAAAGUAAUGCCACAUGAGCAAGAAGUUUUAUGUUACUAACUGUAGAGGUAUUUCAGUGUGCUUCAUGAAGCAUUUUAACACAGCUGAGUGAUGGAAACAUUCAUUUUAAAAUGUUUUAUUACUGUAAACAAAGGAGGCCAUCAUGAGAAGACGACCUGAGCUGAGCUGGACACACAUUUUACUCUCAUGUUCAUCACACUACAGUUUGAGUUCCUUAUUAUCUAAUGUCGUUGGAUAUUCGCUCUCAUUCUUGCUCUUUAAACAAACACAAGCAAAGCAAGAAAGGAGGGAAACACUGACACGUAGCAACAUUGCCUUUGCAACAGGAUGUUUGCUGUAAAUAUAGUCUUUCAUUUAAAAAACUAAAUGCUAUAUGUAGCACCUUUGUAAUGUGUCAUAUUCGUUAGACUCCGGAUUGAAUCUCUUUAUUUUGAGUGUUCUGCUUUUAAGAAGAUUCAGAGGAACAGUUGGGGGUCAAGUGCCUUGCUCAGUGGCACUUCAAAGACAGAUGUACAGAUAAUCCUCAGAAACCCAAUUGAUCCAACUUUUUCCACCCUGCACCAGAAUCAACACUGACAAAACAUGACUCCUGCUAAUAUGAUAUAUAGUUCACUCUCUAAAUGUCACCCUGUCUACAUAUUAUCUGCAUGCAAAUGUCAUCAAAGCAACUAAAUCAACAUACAGAUUGUUGUGAGGAAUAAGACUUGUAUCCAAGUUUUUUUUUUUUUUAACCAAAAGUAUAAAACGUAAAGAAUGCACAAACAUUCCCAUCAACACAGUUUACCUCCUGCUUUUCUUCUAACCGGCUAACGUGGACAGUUUUGUCUUGUUGCUCCUUAAUCACCUGUAAAUGUUUAGAUGAACUGUGUUUGUAUGCUCUGCCGCUCCUUACAGUCAAAUCUAAGGUAUUUUGAUCUCGACCGCAAGACAGUUUACAACCCCGACCACCAAUCUGUCAGCUUGCCUCGAUCUCAGUGUCUUUUAGAUGUAAAUUUAGAUAAAUUCUUUAUUAGAUAUCAAAAUCUUAAAUGUUAUAACUGGCUCAGCACAAAGCAGCUAAAGAAGAGGUUUGCUGAAAGUCUUAAAUUGGCAACAUUUUGAUUUAUAUUAGGAAAUCAGUAUCAAGACUAAACCAAAAGGCAUUCAAUUUCAACUUUCGAUAUCUGACAGUGUUUGGUUCUCGUUUGUACAGAACAAUGGUUCUUCUAACAUGUUCUCGUCACGUUUUAGAUGGUGCGUAUCUUUUCUGUUAUUCAUCAAAACCACUAAUUGCAUCAUUUGGUGUAGAAUUGGAUAUAAACAUAGAUACUGGGCAGAAUUCAAUAUAUUUUUCUUUAAACUUUUCCCCCAUUUGUCCCAGUAAAAAUUCAAAAUGCAGUCUUAUCUGUUAUAUGAAUGUGUCUCUGAAUGCACUGACUUUGCUUGAUCUGGCACUUAAUAUCGUAGUUACACAAAAGCAUUAUUUUUUUGAUGUCAUAUUUGUGUGAACCAAAGCCUCAAAGAUCUUAUUUGUGGUUGUGCUUAAAGAAAAAGAAAGUACUUGAGAUGCUUUUUUAAAAUUUGCAUUUUAAAGCUGAACCAUAAACAGAUGAGACCAUCGCUGACAAGACUGUCAGCAGCUGCUGGCCUCUAUUCUGUGUUCCUGCACUGUGAGCCAGCAGGUUGUGUUUGUUGGGGAAGCUGCAGGUGGUGCUGUUCCUCCAGAGCUAACAGCCAAAGCUGUUGGAGCUUCAUUAGAAGCAGAGGGGAGCAGUGAACAGGCCAUUAAACAUUUCUACAUUAUAAAGUAAGAGUACAGAUCACCAGACUUUACAGUUUUGAUUUUUAAAGAUGGCGAGGUCAGAUCAUGUCUGUUUUCAAUGUUUCUACUUAUUAUGUUGUUUUAGGUACAUUACCACGGCCCUGUAGAGAACUUGAAUCUGACUGUUGGUGAAGACUUAAUAAUUAAUAAGAAUAAUUUAGUGCAAACAAGCGUAAAACAGAAUAGAGAGACACAAUUUUAAGUAUAAAUCACAAAGGAACAGUUCAGCCAAAGUUAAAAUUCAGUCAAUAUCUUCUCCACUCCCUGAUGAUGGACACUGAGAUCAAGUUUCCACGAAACGUUUCUUGAGCUUCAAAGCAAAAAAAGAAAGAAAGACAAAGGAAAACAACAACAUGAAAUGUCUCCUUAUAGCUUGUCCAGUAUAAUACAAAUUACUGGAAGCCCAAAGAUCCCAAAUUGAUUUAGACGACUUUAUUUAAAGCCUUUCUUAACAUCAGUUCCUCAGUUUGUAUUUUGCUGUGAAGCUCCAAAAAUGUUUUGUCGACUAUGAAAAUUCACCCGACUAACUGAAUUUUCAUUUUGGACUGAACUGUUCCUUUAAAACUUGCACCAGUGAACAUUCAGUUUUUGGUAUUAUAUUUAUAUACAGGCAUUUCAAACCCUGAUAGUGAGGAGACAGUAUUUCUUCAUUGUGUUACUCUCUCGUGACAAAACUUAAAACAUUUCAAAUUUGGUGCAAUAAUCUGUUGUACGUAUUGUACUGUGAAAACUUUGAUACUAUCACUUUUUAUUAUCGUUGUAUUUUUAUACUUGAGUAGAACUCAUUCUGUCACUUGUUUUGUUGAUGUGUGUGGUGUUAACAAAGUUUACUGAAACGUCAGAUACAGUACAAACAUCCUUUUCACCUCCUUGACCAAAGAAUAUGAUGUUAUCUAACCUGUAAGCGUUUAUGCUAUUUGACUUUUAAAAAGACUUCAACAUCUCACACGUUAAUCUUGGCAUGAAAAUUACUGUGUAGAUCAUAAAUGAAGAAGCACUUGGAGACCAUGAUCCCAUAAAAGAUAGUCUGAUUGUUUGGAUUAGUAAAAUAAACCUUUAAAUUGUUUCAUAGUAAGCAGGUCUUUUGAAUGCAUUGUAAAUUGCUAUGAUGUAAACUUAUUUCCUUGCAUUUUAUUGUAUUUAUAUUCAUCAGUUAUUCUACUUUGAAAGUAGUUCUCUUUUUGUAUAAUUCUUAUGUAGCCAUGUUUGAUAUUUAACUAAAGGUCAUGGCUGACAUGAUUCCUGGUUGUCUCAUAUUCUGAAUUUUGGGUUUUGUUUUUUUAAUAUAGGUUUUGUUGGUUAUCAGUUGCAUGUUAUCAGGCCCAGCAGCUUUACUCACAUUCACUCGCAGCUGUUUUUUUCUCAUACCCACUGUGGAUAAUGACAAUGGGCGGUCGUCGUGAGGCAGAGUAGACCAUAAAACGGACUCACUGACGUUGAAGCGAGCAUAAAAUGUUUCAGUUCAUCUGGGAGCGUCUUCCUCCUGCAUUGCUAAUGAUCGCCGGCCACAUAUCUUUAAUGGUGUUGGUGUUGCAUUUGCUUUUUUGUAGGAUCCAGUUGCACAUGAUGAGGUGGAGCCUGAUGGGAUAGAAAUGCUGGAGGGAUGCACCAUUAGCAGGCUUCAGCUCCCAUGAGGCUUCGACAGAGGAACAGUGACGAGCCUCUCUGCCACUAACUUGUAGAAAUCCACACAAUCUUUCAUUGAUUGCAGAUUUUCCGAUCCAAAAUGAAAAAACCUUUAAGAGUGUGAUUAAUCCAGUAUUUGCAGUCUGUUAUGUGUGACUACAUUUGUGAACAUCUUUUUUUACUUUGUUGCUUUAAGUUGUUCUCUGAAAUACUAUUUUAAAUAUUUGGACAAGCUGUAAAAUCAUAUAUAUGUGACAAAAAUAUCUCUUUCAUGACUUUUGUUACUUGAUGGAAUUCUCUGACAUUCUGGGUGCCGACCCUCCAAAGAGGACAUCGUAGAAGGGAGAAGAGACAAAGGGAUGAUUAUGAAAAGUAGAUCACCUAAAACAAACUCACUGACACGAUUCAUUUAUUGAUAUAUUUGUCAUUUUUAUUUGUGAGUUACAUCAGUGCUGACACGGGGCACAGGAAUAUGAUAGUUUAAGUUAUUUCUGCUUUUUUUUAUCAGUUUAUUUGUGAUUUGUGUUUUUUCUCUCACCAUCUUCAGCAUUCAAUCAACACACAGUCUGUUGUCUGUAGACGAUGAUUUCCAAAAAUAUUACCUCACAUUUUGAAGACGUGAAGCCCAGUUAUUCCUGAAGUGUGAUUGGUGGAAGCCUGUAAAGCUUUGUAUUAUUCCCAUUUUACUCCUGCAUGAUUGUUGUGGAAUGUUACAAAAAAGUUGUGUAAUAAAUCUGAAAGUAACACA